GAUGAACGCUGGCGGCGUGCCUAAUACAUGCAAGUCGAGCGAACGGACGAGAAGCUUGCUUCUCUGAUGUUAGCGGCGGACGGGUGAGUAACACGUGGAUAACCUACCUAUAAGACUGGGAUAACUUCGGGAAACCGGAGCUAAUACCGGAUGAUAUUUUGAACCGCAUGGUUCAAAGGUGAAAGACGGUCUUGCUGUCACUCAUAGAUGGAUCCGCGCUGCAUUAGCUAGUUGGUAAGGUAACGGCUUACCAAGGCAACGAUGCAUAGCCGACCUGAGAGGGUGAUCGGCCACACUGGAACUGAGACACGGUCCAGACUCCUACGGGAGGCAGCAGUAGGGAAUCUUCCGCAAUGGGCGAAAGCCUGACGGAGCAACGCCGCGUGAGUGAUGAAGGUCUUCGGAUCGUAAAACUCUGUUAUUAGGGAAGAACAUAUGUGUAAGUAACUGUGCACAUCUUGACGGUACCUAAUCAGAAAGCCACGGCUAACUACGUG
rnacentral:rRNA from 1 species